rnacentral:rRNA from 1 species
UACGUAGGGGGCGAGCGUUGUCCGGAGUUACUGGGCGUAAAGGGCAUGCAGGCGGUCGGACGCGUUUCGGGUGACAGCGGGUGGCUUAACUACCCGAGUGGUCGAAAGACGGUUUGACUUGAGGACGCGAGAGGGACACGGAAUUCCGGGUGGAGUGGUGAAAUGCGUAGAGAUCCGGGGGAACACCGAAGGCGAAGGCAGUGUCCUGGCGCGUAACUGACGCUGAGGUGCGAAAGCCAGGGGAGCGAACGGG